AUAUUACUAAGCGGAGGAAAAGAAACUAACUAGGAUUCCCUCAGUAACUGCGAGUGAACAGGGAACAGCUCAAAGUUAAAAAUCGGGGCUUGUCUCCGAGUUGUACUUUAGAGAGGUUCGUCCUAGGUGGUCGCCAGGUAUAAGUUCCUAUAGAAUGGGGCGUCAAAGAGGGUGAAAAUCCCGUAUUUGAUCUGGACGUACUGCCGGCAUGGACAGCCAUCGAAGAGUCGGGCUGCUUGGGAUCACAGCCCUAAUUGGGUGGUAAGCUUCACCUAAAGCUAAAUAUCUGCAAGAGACCGAUAGCGCACAAGUA
rnacentral:rRNA from 1 species